rnacentral:tRNA from 1 species
GUCCCAGUAACGCAAUGGAUAGUACGUUGGACUUCUAAUCCAAAGGUCGUGGGUUCGAAUCCCACCUGGGAUG